GUUCACACUUUAGCAGCACAUACACAAAAAUGGCAUGAGACAGAGAAGAUUAUCAUGGGCGAUAUACAAAGAUGAUAUACAAAUUUAUGAAGUGUUCCAUUUUUUC